CGAAAUUUGAUAUGAACUAUCGCUUUCUCUCAAUUUCAGUCACAAAGAGAAGGAAGGGCGAUUCGCCAUCGAGCAUCUCGCAACCUAAUUUUCAACCAAACAUGAAACCCAUGUUUUUCAAUUUUCAAGUAACCCUGAAAUCGAACUAGAUCUAAUUCAUAUGCUGUUCAAGAGAGCUCCUUUUAUCCAUCAGAGAGAUGUUGGAACAGGAAAGGUCGGUUGAGAACCCUAAAUCGUGGAAUAUGGGUUUAGCUUUUGCAAAUUUGUUAAAUAUCGAUUGGUAAGUACCGAAGGUUUGUUUGAACACUUGUUUUUGUUAGGAAACUUAGUAUGAAAUUUUCAGCCCUGUACAAGGAUUUUUUCUUAGUUUAAUAGAUGAGUUUUAUAUUAUCAACUAAUUGGAAAUCAUUGUUGGUUAUAAUUUUUAAGUUAUUAUUAUUAUGAAAAUAGAUAGACUUAUUAUACAUGACGUUUCGAAUUCCUCUACACAUACAUUACUUUUUUAAACUUAAUGUUCAACGUUUUUUUUGUCAAAAUCACAUUUCUCUUUUGCAAACGGGAAUUUCAAGGCUGUGCUUUCAUAAAUCUUAACAUGUCAGAUGUCUGAGUUUGUUCAGGCUAUAUUAGAUUGCUCUCGCUGUGCUGGAUUGCAGGUAUUUUCUGCUUCUUCAGAUGACGAACAUUGAGUUUAUAUUGCCCCUUGUCUGUUAUUUAUAGAAAUUGUGGAUCUUUAUGAUUUCAAUGAGUGAAUUCAAAUAUUGGAUAUUGGCUGGUUGAUGUUUGACACAUGGUUGUUUGUUGCGUGCUAUCUUUCAUUCCCUUAACAAUCAAAAGGAGUAUCUGCUUAACAUGGUUUUAUGGUAUUGGUUGUUAGAUGGUACUCACACUGCUGUCAUUAAAUAUCGUUGUUCAUGUCACUUCAUGUGUUGGAUGCCUACUAAAUAUCACGUUAGCAAAUAAGCUGUUUACUGUGAAAAAUCUAACCUUGGAAGUCAUAAUGACCCCAAGAUAAUAUGAACUUAAAAGAAUUAGGAUUUCCUUUACCUAGAAAUCCAGAUUGAUUUGAGUGAUAAAAGGUUUUCAAAUGGCUAUACAGAAUAUAAUUUUCUGCUUACAUGUCUCACCAUAUUAUCAAGGAAAUAAAUGAAGUUCCAAAAAUUUGAAUAUAUAUGCUCCUAGGCAACUUGGCUAAUUGAAAACAAAUGUAGUUCUUUCUGUUAAGAAAUUUUAAUUGAAUGAUGAAACUUGAUAAAAAAAAUCAAGUGAAAUAUCUUGCCAUAUAGCUGGAGGCAGCAUUCAAAGGAUAAAAAUAGACAGUUGCAUUUGGUACCAUUUGGUGAGUGAUGUGUAAUACUAGCUUGGAGUUUUCCAGUUUUCCCGUAUACCUUUUUUGUGUAGUCUUUAGCUAUAUGAAAAUAUCAAACUCAAGUGUAGUCCAUAGCUCCAUUGCCUAUCUAGUGUCGAGCCGAAUGGAUACUGAAGUUUUAUUCUCUAACCCUCUAUGCUAUAAAAUGCAAUAGCUACAUGGUUAUGUAUAUAAAAGAAAAGUAACUAACAGUCAGAAGAAGGCAGGUUCAAUUUCAAGACAUUGAACAAUUCUGGCUUUAGAAGUCAUAAUAAGAACAUAUACUUGCCUUGUUUUGGUUACUCUUCAACUACUUUUGAAGUGCAUCAUCAACCACUGCUAUUUACACAAUCAAAUGACUAAUUUAACAAUUAUAACUAUUCAAGCUUACCCCAUAUGUGUUUGCAUACUCAACUUUUGAAUGCAUUACCCAUGCUAAUUCUCCUGAAAUCAAAUCAAUCAUUUGUUUACACAGGAAGAAGAGUAGUACUAGUCAUUUACACCUCUCACACAUCACCUUACAUACAUAUAAUAUAGCGACUAAAGUACCUAUUUAACCAACAAUCAGCUAACUUCAGCAUUGGUAGUUAAAUAUGGGUAGAUUUAACUAAGUUUAAUAGCUGGCUAAUCAGAGUUAUGUAUUGGGAAAUGUUUGAGUUGAGCUCUAUUUACGAAAGAGUAAUGGAUAAAAGCUCUUGCUCAUGAUUCAGAGUUAAAGAAAAAUAGUUGACAAUGUAGAAGUACUACAAUCGAAGUAACUACUAUAACAGUUGAGGGUUUUCAUUUUCAUUCGAAGAAAAUUAAAUGUGAAUAUCUACAUUUAAGUUCUUUAUAUCUAAGCAAUAAAAUUACUUUCCUCUCUUCUUCUAGUUACUUCUUCCAUGGUUCCAAAACAGCGAGUACGAUGAUGAGGGCAAUGACCAAGAGCAAUAUAAUGGAAAUCAUCAUGCAUUUUCUUGACUUCUUUUGCAAACUUUUUGCAGUUUGGAGAGCAUCGUUACCCAGUCUCACAUGAUCAGUUGCGUUUGUCACCUGUUCAUUACAAAAUGGCAUUUUUAAAAGACAUGAUUAGAUCUAUAAUUCAAGUUAUUUUGUUUCUUUGUAUAGUAUGAUUUUUAAACUUCUCGUGCUUACAUGGCACAAUCUAUAUAUCUAAAACUAAAACUAUAAAUAUUAUUGAACAACAAUACCUACAAUAUCCU
rnacentral:sRNA from 1 species